CUCAGCUUAUCCAGAGUUUGCCACAGAUUGCAAGGUAUUUGCAUGACAUCUGCAACAUUUCUUUUCUCCUUCCAUCUUGUUCUUUUUCACAUUUUUAGACUUAUGAUGUAUUAGAUAGUCGGUUAUGCAUUUAGAGGCUCUAGACUUGUGACACCAGAUGUUUGGUCUAUGUUGCUUUAUGUUUCAUUUACUUCCGCAUAUUUUUGUUAUUUUAAACAUUUCUUAUGAAAAUUGGUAUUUAAACCUAUGUUAGAAAAUGCCUUUUAUAAAGGAAAUUCGAUAUGAUUAAUGGUUUGGGUUGGCUUUACUAGUAAGGUGAUAUGCUCCAUCACGAUUGGGUAUUUGGGAUCAUGACAAGUUGGUAUCAGUACCUAGGUUACAUAGGUCUCGCGAGUCAUGAGCCGGUUUAGUAGAGUCCCGUGGAUCGGUACAGAGACGUCUGUAUUGAUCCUCGAGAGGCUAUAUAACCUUUAGGAAAAAACUUCAUAUUCUUGAAAUUCUGGUUGUGCGAAUCUGUGGAUCUGAGUACUAAACUUCUGUUAUUCCAUUCUCUCACAAAUGGUGGGGACACGUGCUACGGGUUAGGAUGGAAGACUACCAUUACCACUAGCUAGGGCCACUAUAGGCUGAGGAUGCGGUCAAGGCCUUGGUAGGGGCAAAGCAGCUAGGGCAACACUUGCAAAUCUACCAGCUGCCCAGUUCAGGAUCAGGUCCCAGUAAUAGAAGCUGCAGUAGCACCAACUCAUACACCAAUUGUGCCUAUUGUGAUUCCAGGCCUUCAGGAGGAUUUAGUUCAGAUUUUAUCAAUGUGUACCGGUUUGGCUUAGGCGGUCUUAGUUACUACUGCCGAAGCUACUUCUAAGGCCAGAGGAGGCACCUAGACUGUCGUUGCUCGCACACCUGAGCAGGUUGCGUUGGGACUCCAUAUACUAGGGGCACCUCUAGCCCAACCGGUUGCACCAGCUCAGGAGUAUAUGGUACCUGUUACACCAGACGACGAGCAGCGUUGAUUAGAGAGGUUUGGUAGACUCUAGCCUCCGACUUUCAGUGGUGUAGAGGGCGAGGAUGCCUAAGAUUUUUUGAUAAAUGCCGUAGGAUGCUUCGUACAGUGAGUAUUCUGGAGACCAAUGGUGUGGCGUUCACUACCUUUCAGUUUUCUGGGGCUUCCUUCACUUGGUGGGAGGCGUGUAAGAGAUGUAGGCCUGUUGGUGCAACGCCCCUUACCUGGGAUUAGUUCUCUGUUCUCUUUCUGGAGAAGUAUAUGCCAUAGUCUCACCAAGAGAAACUGUGCAUGCAGUUUGAGUAGUUGUGUUAGGGGGAUAUGACUGUGAUGCAAUAUGAGAUGCCAUUCUCUGAGUUUGCUUGUUACGGUCAGGUUGGUUUCCACUGAUCGAGAGAGGAUCAGGAGAUUCAUUGAUGGCCUCAUGUAUCAGCUUCGAAUUGUCAUAACUAGGGAAAGAGUGACAGGUGCUACUUUCGAGGAGGUUGUUGACAUCGCCCAUGAGAUUGAGUUGGUUUGUCACUAGGAGUUAGAGGAAAGGGAGGCCAAGAGCCUCGAGAAUCUGGUAACUUUGUAGUGCUCCUUCGAGGGGUCAGUUUUAGCCGAGCAGAGGUUGUCCAUUCAGGCAGGCUUCGUCAGCCCGCCUAGGUUAUCGUGGGCAUCAUCGGGUCAUGGUUAUCAUAGUUCUUAUUAGGUCCAUUCAUUACUCAGUGCUCUUCUAGCCUAGAGUUCAUCCCGUGCUCCAUCGGUUCAAGGUUCUUCCAUGCUAGGUCCUUCUACUAGUCAUCCAAGUGCCAGGGUUUCCCUUCAGUCCCCAUCUCCAACACCAAGUAGUUGUUAUGAGUGUGGAGAGUUUGGGCAUAUGAGGAGGCAGUGUCCUCGUCUUCAUGAUGGUCCAUCUUAGCAAAGGGGUCAGCCCUCGACUUCAGCUCCAAUUACUUCACCACUCGCCUAGCAAGCUAGGGGUGCAGGUCAGUCAGUUCGGGGUCACCCUAGAGGAGGGGGUAACCAGGUGGUGGUCAGGCUCAUUUCUAUGCCCUCCCAGGUAGAUGGGAUGUUGCUGCUUCAGAUGCCGUGAUUUCUGGUAUUGUUUUAGUAUGUCACAGGAUGCCUCUAUAUUAUUUGAUCCCGGUUCCACCUUUUCUUAUGUGUCAUCAUACUUUACCCGUUAUCUGUAUACGCCUUGUGAGUCUCUUGUUUCACCUGUUCAUGUAUCUACUCCAGUGAGCAUUACUGUUAUUGUAGACAAUAUGUACCGGUCGGGUGUGGUGAGUAUUGGGGGUUUAGAGACCCGAAUAGACCUUUUAAUAUUGUGUAUGGUGGAUUUUGAUGUCAUUUUUGGAAUGGAUAUCAUGCCAAGGCAUUCAUAUUGGCUAUAUCGGGUUUUCCACAGAUAGAGUGGCGAGGUUUGACUGAGUAUGUUCCCAGUAGAGUGAUCUCAUUCUUGAAGGCCCAACAUAUGGUUGGGAAAGGAUGUCUUUCGUAUCUAGCCUUUGUGAGGGAUGUUAGAUCUGAGACUCCUAGUAUUGACUCAGUUUUAGUUGUGAGGGAGUUUCCCGAUGUGAUUCUUGCAAACUUGUCUGGCAUGCCACCAGAUAGGGAUAUUGAUUUUGGUAUUGACAUGGUAUAGGCCACUCAGCCCAUUUCUAUUUCGACGUAUCGUAUAGCACUAGCGAAGUUGAAAGAGUUAAAGGAGUAGCUUCAGGAACUCCUUGAUAAAGUGUUAAUUCGGCCUAGUGUGCCACCUUCGGGUGCACCGAUUCUAUUUGUGAAGUAGAAGGAUGGAACUAUGAGUAUGUGCAUCGAUUAUAGAUAAUUGAACAAAGUAACAGUUAAGAACAAGUAUCUUUUGCCCCACAUUGAUGAUUUAUUCGAACAACUUCAGGGAGCGAGAGUGUUUUCCAAGAUUGAUCUCUAUUCGCGUUAUCGCCAGUUGAAGAUCAGGGACUCGGAUGUUCUUUAGAUAGCCUUCAGGACCCGUUAUAGUCAAUAUGAGUUCUUGGUGAUGUCUUUUGGGCUGACCAAUGCCCCAAAAACUUUCAUGCAUUUGAUGAACAACGUGUUCCGGCCUUAUCUCGACUCGUUUGUCAUAUUCUUCAUUGAUGAUAUUCUGGUGUAUACUCGUAGUGAGAAGGGGCAAGCAGAGCAUUUGAGAGUUGUGUUGCAAAGAUUGAGGGAGAAGAAACUUUAUGAAAAAUUCUCCAAGUGUGAGUUUUGGAUCAAUUUAGUGGCUCUCUUGGGGAACGUGGUGUCCAGCGUGGGUAUUCUGGUUGAUCUGAAGAAGAUAGAGGUAGUUCAAAGUUAGCCCAGAUUGUCCUCAGCCACACAGAUUCACAGCUUUCUUGGUUUAGCAGGCUAUUACCGAUGGUUUGUUCAGGGAUUCUCAUCUAUCGCAUCACCCUUGACCAAGUUGACUUAGAAGGGUGCUUCAUUUAUAUUGUAAGAAGAGUGUGAAAAGAGCUUUCGGAAGCUUAAGACAGCCUUGACCACAACUCCAGUGUUAGUUUUGUCAUCAGCUUCAGGUUCAUAUACCGUGUAUUGUGAUAUUUUGAGUGUUGGUACUGGUUUUUCUUUGAUGUAGGAUGGUAGAGUUAUUGCUUAUGCUUCUCUUCAAUUGAAGCCCCAUGAGAAGAACUACCACGUUCAUAAUUUCGAGUUGGCUAACAUAGUUCACGUGUUGAAGAUUUUGAGGCAUUACUUAUAUGGUGUGUCUUGUGAGGUGUUUACUGAUCAUUGUAGCCUCCAGCACUUGUUCAAACAGAAGGAUCUCAAUUUGGGGCAAGGGAGGUGGUUGGAGUUGCUUAAGGAUUAUGAUAUCACUAUAUUGUACCAUCCGGGGAAGGCCAAUGGGUGGCUGAUGCUUUGAGCCGAAAGGCGGUGAGUAUGGGAAGUUUGACAUAUAUUCCAGUUGGGGAGAGACCUCUUGAAGUGGAUGUUCAGGCCUUUGACAAUCGGUUCGUGAAGUUAGAUAUUUCAGAGCCCAGUCGGGUGUUGGCUUGUGUGGUUUCUCGGUCUUCUUUAUAUGAUCGCAUCAAAGAGUACCAGUAUGACAAUCCGCAUUUGCUUGUCCUUAUGGAUAGAGUUCAGCAUGAUGAUGGCAAAGAUGUGAACAUUGAUGAUGAUAGGGUGUUGAGGAUGCAAGGUCGGAUAUGUGUGCCUAAUGUAGAUAUGCUUCGGAAGUUGAUCCUGGAGGAGGCCCAUAGCUCGCGGCAUUCCAUUCAUUCGGGUGCCGCGAAGAUGUAUCAAGAUAUGAAACAACAUUAUUGGUGGAAGAGACUGAAUAAAGACAUUGUGGGAUUUGUAGCUCGGUGUCUCAAUUGUCAGCAUGUGAAAUAUGAACAUCAGAGACGUGGUGGCUUGCUUCAGCGGAUGGAUAUUCUAGAAUGGAGGUGGGAGAGGACUAUGGACUUUCUUGUGGGACUUCUACGGACUUUGAGGAAGUUUUAUGGUAUUUCAGUGAUUGUGGAUCGGCUGACCAAGUCCGCACACUUUAUUCCUAUGUGUACUACUUAUUCUUUAGAGCGGUUGGCAGAGAUUUAUAUCUGGGAGAUUGUUCGUUUGCAUAAUGUCCCAGUUUCCAUCAUUUCGGAUAGGGGCACUAAGUUUACUUCUCAAUUUACUUCACAGUUUUGAAGGUCUGUGCAGUGAGAGUUGGGUACUCAGGUUGAGCUGAGCACAACUUUUCAUUCUCAGACGGACGGGUAGUCGGAACGCACUAUUCAGAUAUUGGAGGACAUGUUGCGUGCUUGUAUCAUUGAUUUUGGAGGGUCAUAGGAUCAGUUUCUACCACUUGCAGAGUUUGCUUAUAACAACAACUACCAGUCGAGUGUUUAGAUGGCUCCAUAUGAGGCCUUGUAUGAGAGGCAGUGUAGAUCUCCAGUUGGUUGGUUUGAGUCGGGCGAGGCUAGGCUAUUGGGGACAGACUUGGUGCAGGAUGCUUUAGACAAGGUGAAAGUGAUUCAGGAGAGGUUUCGUACAAUAAAGUCGAGGAAAAAGAGUUAUGUUGACAGGAAGGUUCGAGAUGUGUUUUACAUGGUUAUCGAGAAGGUUCUGUUGAAGGUCUCUCCCAUGAAGAGUGUUAUGAGAUUUGGGAAGAAAGUGAAAUUAAGUCCUCGGUUCAUUGGGCCUUUUGAGGUACUUCAGAGGAUUGGGAAGGUGAUUAUGGCUUGCUUUGCCAUCCAGCUUGUCGAGUGCGCAUCUGGUAUUUCAUGUUUGUAUGCUCCGAAAGUAUAUUGGGGAUCUGUCUCAUGUUCUUGAUUUCAGCAUGGUUCAGUUGGAUGAUGAAUUGACCUAUGUGUGGAGCCAGUAGCUAUUUUGGGUUGUCAGGUAUGAAAGUUGAGAUCAAAGGAUAUAGCUUCAAUGAAAGUGCAUAGGAGAGGUCGGCUAGCGGAGGAGGCUACCUGGGAGACCGAGCGGGAGAUGCGGAGCAGAUAUCGUCACCCGUUUGAGGCUUAUGUUUCUUGAAUCGUUCGAGGACGAAUGCUUAUUUAAGUUGGGGAGGAUGUGAUGACCUGGCCAAUCGUCUCAUGAGUUACCUCUAUGUUUCCCCCAUUUCUACUUCUUUAUGCUUCGUAUAUCAGUUCCAUGUAUGAUCGGGUUGGUUGGCACAGGUUCUGAAAGGAUUUGGUAAAUUUUGACACACUUAGUCUCUUUUUAGGAAGCUUAAGUUGGAAAAUUCAGCCAGAUGUUGACUUAUGUGUUAGAGGGCUCGGAUGGUUCGUAUAGCUUCUGGAGGUGAUUUAGGACUUAGGAGCAUGAUCAGAAUGAGUUUUGGUGGUUCGGAGUAGAUUUAGGCUUGAAUUGGUGAAGUUGACAUAUUUUGGCGAUUUUCGGUUGGCAGGUGAGAUUUACCUAUAGGGGUCAGAAUGGAAUUCCUAGAGAUAUAGUAGUUCCGUGGUAUCAUUUGGGAUGUGUGUGUAAAAGUUUCAAGUCAUUCGGAUGUGGUUUUGUUGGAUUUUUUAUCAAAAGCAAAAUUCGAAAGAUUUCGGAAACUUAGUUUUGAAUCUGACGUGUUUUGGUUGAUUCGAUAUUGUUUGAGGUGUUUUGAGGAUUGGUACAAGUUUGAAUAAGGUUUUUGGGUAUGUUGGUGCUUUUGUUAAGGUCCUAGGGGCCUCGGGGUGAUUUCGGAUGGUUGACAGAAAAGUUGGAGUUUUUGGUGAGCUUCCGAUUUUUCCUGCUUCUGGUGUUUCCGCAACUGUGGAUUAGGGAUCGCAGGUGCGAUGCCACAGAUGCAAGAAAGGAUGUUUCAAAAGCAGAAAAUGCCUAGGAAGGUAGGAACAAAAGAUGUAGUUGUAUGAUCGCAUAUGUGGAGGCGCAGGUGCGGAAUAUCCAUCACAAAUGUGAUUUUGGCUGGCUAAGUGAAGAAACACAUAAGCGGUUCAGUGGCCGCUAAUGCGGCACCGUAGAUGCGGAAAUGCCUGGUUCAGAAGGUAUAUAUUGUUUCCUUCGCAAGUUUUUGCUAAGUUCUUCAUUUUUGAAAUGGAGAAAUGGACCAAGGCUGUGGAAUUCAAGAGAAAUCAUGGCAUAUCAGUUGGGUAAGUUUCCUAAGCUUCAUUAUUUGGGUUUAUGAUCAUUUUUUCAUUGUUUAAUCAUGGUAUUAGUGGAGAUUAAGGGAGAAAAAUUGGAGAUUAGGGCUUGAGAUUAAGAGACUUUAAAAUAGAAAUUUAAGGGGCCAUUUGGACUCCGAUUUCAAUGUUUUUGGUAUGAAUGGACUCGUGGAGUGAUAAGGAUUCCUUUGAUGUAAAUUUUACCGGAUUUUGAGACAUGGGCUCGGGGUUAGGAUUUUGCCAAAUUUCUAUUUUUUGGUAUAUUUUGAUUAUUUUCGCUUGGGUUUUGUUCCCUUAACAUAUUUUGAUGUCGUGAUUAUGAUUUUGGAUAGAUUCGUCGUGACUGGAGCCGAUUCGAUGGGCAAAGGCAUCACAGAGUAGUAUUUGCACCAGUUUGAGAUAAGUAACCAUUGUAAAUCUAGAACUGAAGGUACAAUUCCCGGUAUUUGACUUGUUUUUGAUAAAUGUAGUGACACACAUGCUAGGUGAUGAGCGUAUGACAUGCAUCGGUAGGGAUACUUGGUCUGUCUCGUAGCGACUAUUAAGCCGCAUAUUGGAUUUGAAACCUUAUGAUAUUCCGUACUUUAGUCAUUUAUGUUGUAUUAUGGGUCGUAUGCCAUGUUUGGAGCCUUGUGCCGACCUAUCGAGACCCUUGAGGGAAUUUCAACUAUUUCUCAUCACUCUAUUUGUUUAGAAAGCAUAUCCUCAUUCAUGUUUUACCUGUUUAUUGUUUAAAACUGAUUUUGUCACUCUACUUUUAAUGUGAGGGCUGUUUGGAAUUAGUUCCCUAAUUUCUACUGUUGUGCCCUAGAGGUUGUGAGGUUAAUGACUAAGAGAGGUUGACAACCUAAUAGUGAAGAUACUUAUAUUGGUAUUAAAUAUGGAUCGGGUUGCAUGCUGCAUUAAUACUUAUAUGGAUCGGGCUAUAUGAGGCAGUGAUAUGAUGCUUGGGGUGUAGGAGCGCUUCCUGAGUUCUGUAAACCCCCAGUGAGCGUAGUCGACUACAAAUUGUGGAUCGGGCUGCACGCCGCAAUAAUUAUUGUGAUUAUUACUAUUACGAGAUUUUAAUGAGCAUGAGUGCUGUGAUUGUGUACUGAGUGACGAGAGCUGAGUCACGAGUGAUUGAAAGGCUGCCCAAGAGGCCAUGUUUUCAGUGGUAACUUGCCCGAGGGGCCUAUUCAUGAUAGUUCAUUGAUUCACUCUUUCUUAAAAAUAAGCCUCUUUUGAAAAUUGCUAGUAAAUGAUUUAAUCAUUCCAAAUUGAAACUGAAGUUUUUAUGACAAAGCUGGUUUAUAAACUUUGGAAUUUGAUCUUUUAUGUUGUUGUUACUCCUUUAUAUGCUUUUUACUGCUCGUCACCGCUUUCAGACUUUAUUUACUUUAGUUGCUUACUAAGUUGGCGUACUCACAUUGCUCCCUGUACCUUAUGUACUGAUCCAGGUGCCCAAGCAGUAGAGUGUGGGUCCUCAGCUUAUCCAAAGUUUGUCAGAGAUUGCAAGGUAGCGGCACGGCGUCCGCAACCCCGCUUUCCUCUUUCCAUCUUGUUCUUUUCCGCAUUUUAGACAUAUGAUC
rnacentral:lncRNA from 1 species